GUGGGGAAUAUUGGACAAUGGGCGAAAGCCUGAUCCAGCCAUGCCGCGUGUGUGAAGAAGGUCUUCGGAUUGUAAAGCACUUUAAGUUGGGAGGAAGGGCAGUAAGUUAAUACCUUGCUGUUUUGACGUUACCGACAGAAUAAGCACCGGCUAACUUCGUGCCAGCAGCCGCGGUAAUACGAAGGGUGCAAGCGUUAAUCGGAAUUACUGGGCGUAAAGCGCGCGUAGGUGGUUUUGUAAGUUGGAGGUGAAAUCCCCGGGCUCAACCUGGGAACUGCCUCCAAAACUGCAUGACUAGAGUACGGUAGAGGGUAGUGGAAUUUCCUGGGUAGCGAUGAAAUGCGUAGAUAUAGGAAGGAACACCAGUGGCGAAGGCGACUACCUGGACUGAUACUGACACUGAGGUGCGAAAGCGUGGGGAGCAAACAGGAUUAGAUACCCGGGUAGUCC
rnacentral:rRNA from 1 species